UCCCUGGUGGACUAGUGGCUAGCAUGUGGUGCUCUCAUUGCCGUAGUCCAGGUUUGAUUCUUGGUCAGGGAA